GUAGUUUUGUGCUAGCAACUGCAUUGGAGCCUAGAGAUGAAUCACAUUCUUUGUGACAAUGGAACAGAAAUAAGAGUGAGCAAAUGGACCCCAGAAAGCUGAUGAACACUUAAGUGAAUGCACUGAGGGUCACAGUUGAAUAACAUUCAAGAGGCCAGAUUAAAGAUCAGGGGAGCUUUAACCUAGGUCAAAGGAGCCUGGCAAACUCUUGAACCCUGAGAGUACACACAGCACACAGCGAUACCCACCAAAUGGCCAGCAAUGCAAUCAGUCCUCAAGAAUAUAACUGAGAUGAAAAACGUCCUGCUGAUGACAGAUGAGCGACACACAGAGUGGGACACAAAUUCGCUGAAGCAUUUCCUGGUGUCUUCUCCUUACAAGCAUUUGUUGGGGAUUAUUUAAUUUUUCUGUUUCCUGUCUUUUCCCAUUUUACGAACGAGGGGAAAUAAGGCAAAAAGAAGCCAUUUGUCUAAGCAGGCAUAGCUACUUACCACCAGAAACUAAAGCCCUCUAUGAAGCUACAGGACUCCACAUCACUGUCUGCUCCUACAUGCAGCUCUCCUUAAUUUAGAAGAGAAAAUUGUAUUUCCA